UACGUAGGGUGCGAGCGUUAAUCGGAAUUACUGGGCGUAAAGCGUGCGCAGGCGGUUUUGUAAGUCAGAUGUGAAAUCCCCGGGCUCAACCUGGGAACUGCGUUUGAAACUACAAGGCUAGAGUGUAGCAGAGGGGGGUAGAAUUCCACGUGUAGCAGUGAAAUGCGUAGAGAUGUGGAGGAAUACCAAUGGCGAAGGCAGCCCCCUGGGUUAACACUGACGCUCAUGCCACGAAAGCGUGGGGAGCAAACGAGG
rnacentral:rRNA from 1 species